rnacentral:ncRNA from 2 species
CGCUCAUCCAGAGGGGCAGAGGGAAACGGCCCGAUGAAGCCCCGGCAACCCUCCAGUCGGUACUCGUAGAUCAGUUCUGAUCGUCUCCGCGAGGCUCCCGGCUAGGGAAGGUGCCAAAUCCGUCUCACGGCGAAGUGCGUCGUGAGGAAGAUGAGGA